rnacentral:rRNA from 1 species
UACGUAGGGUGCAAGCGUUAAUCGGAAUUACUGGGCGUAAAGCGUGCGCAGGCGGUUCGCUAAGACCGAUGUGAAAUCCCCGGGCUUAACCUGGGAAUGGCAUUUGGGACUGCAAGGCUUGAGUGCGGCAGAGGAGACUGGAAUUCCUGGUGUAGCGGUGAAAUGCGCAGAUAUCAGGAGGAACACCGGUGGCGAAGGCGGGUCUCUGGGCCGAUACUGACGCUGAGGAGCGAAAGCGUGGGGAGCGAACAGG